GCUUAGAAGCAGCCACUCAUUCAAAGAGUGCGUAAUAGCUCACUGGUCGAGUGACGACGCGCCGAAGAUUAACGGGGCUAAAACCUGAUACCGAAGCUUAGGAAUGAUUUUUAAUCAUUGGUAGAGGAGCAAUGUAUGCGCGCAGAAGCCGUAUCGAAAGGGGCGGUGGAGUGCAUACAAGAGAGAAUGCCGGUAUAAGUAGCGAAAGUGAGGUGAGAAUCCUCACCAUCGAAAGUCUAAGGUUUCCUGGGGAAGGUUCGUCCCCCCAGGGUCAGUCGGGACCUAAGUCGAGGGCGAAAGCCGUAGAUGAUGGACAGUAGGUUGAUAUUCCUGCACCGCCACUGGACGUUUUUACCGAUGCAAUGACACAGAAGGAUAGUUGAUCCCCGCGGAUGGUAAAGUGGGGUCGGCACACGAGGCCGGAGCGUAGUGAAGUACGCGCUCCGUUAAGGCAGAGUGUGAGGUUAAGCGAAAUUAAGUAGUUGUUUCAAUGAAUCCACGCUGGCGAGAAAAGUUGCUAGGGAGAAAAGUGGCGCCCGUACCGCAAACCGACACAGGUAGACGAUGAGAGAAUCAUAAGAUGAUCGGGAGAACUCUUGUUAAGGAACUCGGCAAAAUGACCCCGUAACUUCGGGAGAAGGGGUGCCACAGCGAUGUGGCCGCAGUGAAUAGUCCCAAGCAACUGUUUAUCAAAAACACAGGUCUCUGCUAAAUCGAAAGAUGAAGUAUAGGGGCUGACGCCUGCCCAGUGCUGGAAGGUUAAGGGGAGCUGUUAGCGCAAGCGAAGCGGUGAACUUAAGCCCCAGUGAACGGCGGCCGUAACUAUAACGGUCCUAAGGUAGCGAAAUUCCUUGUCAGGUAAAUUCUGACCCGCACGAAUGGCGUAAUGAUUUGGGAACUGUCUCAACAAGAGACCCGGCGAAAUUGUAGUAUACGUGAAGAUGCGUAUUAACCUGCGACUGGACGGAAAGACCCCGUAGAGCUUUACUGUAGCUUGGUAUUGAAUUUCGGCAAUGAAUGUACAGGAUAGGUGGGAGACUUGGAAGCCUCGGCGUCAGCUGAGGUGGAGUCACCCUUGGGAUACCACCCUUUUAUUGCUGGGGUUCUAACGGUGUGCCGUUAUCCGGGCACCGGACAUUGCCAGGUGGGCAGUUUGACUGGGGCGGUCGCCUCCCAAAAAGUAACGGAGGCGCCCAAAGGUUCCCUCAGAAUGGUUGGAAAUCAUUCGCAGAGUGCAAAGGCAGAAGGGAGCUUGACUGCGAGACAGACAUGUCGAGCAGAUACGAAAGUAGGGCUUAGUGAUCCGGCGGUAGAGUAUGGAAUUGCCGUCGCUUAACGGAUAAAAGUUACCUCGGGGAUAACAGGCUUAUCUCCCCCAAGAGU
rnacentral:rRNA from 1 species